rnacentral:rRNA from 1 species
AUUGAAGCCUAGCGAUAUGUAAGUUAGUGGCGCACGGGUGAGUAACGCGUAUGCAACUUGCCUAUCAGAGGGGGAUAACAGUUGGAAACGACUGCUAAUACCGCAUAAGCGCACGGUUCCGCAUGGAACAGUGUGAAAAACUCCGGUGGUAUGAGAUGGACCCGCGUCUGAUUAGCUGGUUGGUGAGGUAACGGCCCACCAAGGCGACGAUCAGUAGCCGGCCUGAGAGGGUGAACGGCCACAUUGGGACUGAGACACGGCCCAAACUCC